CACGACCCAUGCCUUCAAUGAUAACCAAGUCUGUCUUCCGUUCUCUGACCAGCACAGCCAGACCUUUAUCCAGGCGGCUGAAAUGAGAGGUCUAGUUAAAUAGAAAUAAGUGCCCUGAUAAAGAAAGGACACCACAGUUAUGCUGGAAGAGCUUUGAAAGCAGCUGGAUUCCAAAUGCUGCAGUUCCUGAAGAAAGCAAGCCAAGAAGCUUGGUAAGUAACAAAAUGUCUGUUUUAUUUCUAUAUGGUAUGAUUGCUGGAACUAUUAGUGCUGCACUAACAGAAUUUGUUUUGAGCUGUCUGAACAGGGCUGUGUUAAAUGUUAGAAACAAGCUUAAUAGGGUUGUUCCAUGAGUAAUGUAUUCAGUUACUCAGUGAUCAGUGGUAAUUCUGGACUCGUACCUUCAGCCGCUCUAGCCACUGACUGUAGGAAUCUUCUAACCAGGGACGUUCUGUGUCACAGACAAAACUGUAUUAGCAUCACUUUUAGGCAAAGAGUAAAUCUGUACAUUAUGCAAAGCAGGAGGUGUCUCUUUAAAGAUAUGGAAUAUUUGAACUCAGAUUUUGAAUGUUAAGGAGUUCCUGAACUCUUAAUUAUUGGAAGUUCAACUACAGUGGCCUUGGAAUAGAAUUCUUCUGAUAGCAAUAGAGUCAUAUGAGCUAGCUCUCAUAAUGGCUUGUUCUGAGAUGGCUGGUGCUGCUGUUCCUUGGGACAUUGCUAAGACAGGACUGGAACCAUUACAGGAAACAGCACAGGCUAUUCACGAUAUGCUGAGUAUUGGGGCAGCAGAGAGGUUUUUGGUUUCCACUUUGUUUGGAACACAAAAAGCAACAUUCCACUGAGACUGUAUUUCAGAUAAACUGGCGAGUGCUACUGAGUCCUUGUCACAAGCAGAACUGCCAUCUUAAAUACCAUCACACUCUUCUUUACUCUCUUAUUAACACAAUAUCCAGAUCUAACCAACACUACAGAUCUCCCCCCUAUACCUUGCAGUUUUGACUUGGCUUCUUCAAAUCCAAAUUGUGGCUCACAUUCCAGAACACUGUAUCAGAAGAGAAAUAAAGGGUACGCAGUUAAGUAACUUCAGCUCACUCAAUUUGAAUACUUGUAUAGCAGGCUGUUGGCAAUUUUAUUGCAGGAUUAUAAUUGGGAGUAUGGACAGGUCCAGUGACUGAAAAAUAGAUCCACCCUUAAAAACAAAAGGCUUGCAUGUACAUUAAAUUAGGGAGUUAAAUUAGAGAUCAGCAAGCACUACUCUAUGGGGGAAAAAAAAAAACAACAAACCUUUGGAUCUGCAGAUGACAAUAAAUACAGUAAUGAUCUAAACUAUCAUAGCCAUAAAACAACACUUCACAAAGUUAAAUCUGGAGAUCUGUCUACAACAUUUUGAGUUGUAUUUGUGUGUAGGCAGGAAAAAAAAAGAAAUUAACUAAAUACAGGUUUUAAAAGCCAUUCCUAUUGGCUGCAUGUAUAGAAAAGUAGCUUCAAACUUAGCUGGUGAUGAGGAUGUACAUAAUGAGGCUAGAUUCUAAGCUGCCAGUUAAAAUAUUACUCCACAUGGGCAGUGCUUGCCAGUCAAGUCUCAUAAAGUGCCUUCAGUCCAGUACCAAGUGAUGUUUAACUCUUAGCUUCUUCCUCGAACAGAGGGAGAGCUGCACUUAGACAAGUGGCAACCAGACUAAUUGCUGUGACUGGGGUCAGUUCAAGUUUCUGCAGUUGUGGGCAGCAUUAGAACGCAGAUCCAAGUAGCCUCAAAUCACCUUGUUUUGAAUUGAUUUGCAUUUUUUUUGUUAUUUACUCAUGAGGGGAAAACUCCUCAAAGAUGCAGAAAGGGAAAGGAAGUGCUGAAUGUUUGCUGCAAAACUGUGCCCACCUCCCCUACUCUUUAUUAUCAACCCCACAGAAAGAGGUAAAAUCUAGAAGUACAAAAACAAAGAUAUUUCAAAACUGACAGCAUUUACAUCCUUUUCUGAAUUUAUGGCUGCUGACAGGAUAUAUGGAAAGAGAGCUCUCAAAAUGGCAGUAGAAGUGUAUGCUGAUCGAAAACAACUGGUAUUUAGUUAUUUUAAGAGACCACCAACCUGGCUUACAGCCCAUUGAAUAUACACUCUGAUAUCAGAGCAACUGUGGGUUACAGAGAGAGCACAUUUUCUACUAUAGGAAGAUAAUAUCAGCUUAAAUAGAACACAUACUCAAAAGCAGAGGUAGUAACAGCUACAAACAAAGAGCCAGACUGCGAUAUUAGGUGGUCUGUCAUUUAAUUCAAACAUUCAGUGAUGUCUGCCAGAUUUUAAGGGUGGAAACAAACUUUGCUGCACCGCAAUAAUGCUUGCAAAUGAACAACCAACAUAUGAUUAAGGUUAAAUACAAACUACAAUGAGAUUGGUGCAUUUCAUUUACUUAUUUCUACAACAAAAACAAAAAACCAACAGUUGGAUAUUCUAUAUCUUAAAAGGGUGCUUUUAAAAUAUUUAACACCUACUCUGAGACUGCUUUUGCUCCCCAGUCAAAGACAUUCCCCGCAAGAAGUCCUUUCACCAGAGCAAACUGCCUCUCCUCCCAGCCUAAUGAAUCCAAAGAUUCGAUUACGCUUUGAAAACAUUUUAAGGCUAUGCCAUUUUCUUUCUGCUUUACCUGUAAGAAAGACAUGAAACAUCGCAUUUACGGACAAAAAAUCCUUACCCAUCAUUGGCUGUCUCAGUCCCAAGACCGCGUUCAAGCAUUCUCCUCUACGUUCAUGGCCUCUAAUGGACCAACAAGUUACUGUUAUCAGCAUGCUUAGUACCAACAAGAAAAAAGUUCCCUGGGAUUCUAAUAAACAGCUUUAUUAGUGCUA